CCUACGGGGGGCAGCAGUGGGGAAUAUUGGGCAAUGGGCGCAAGCCUGACCCAGCAACGCCGCGUGAAGGAAGAAGGCUUUCGGGUUGUAAACUUCUUUUCUGAGGGACGAAGAAAGUGACGGUACCUCAGGAAUAAGCCACGGCUAACUACGUGCCAGCAGCCGCGGUAAUACGUAGGGGGCAAGCGUUAUCCGGAUUUAUGGGGUGUAAAGGGCGGGUAGGCGGGAAAGCAAGUCAGAUGUGAAAACUCAGGGCUCAACCCUGAGCCGGCAUUUGAAACUGUUUUUCUUGCGUGCUGGAGAGGCAAUCGGAAUUCCGUGUGUAGCGGUGAACUGCGUAGAUAUCCGGAGGAACACCAGUGGCGAAGGCGGAUUGCUGGACAGUAACUGACGCUGAGGCGCGAACGCGUGGGGAGCAAACAGGAUUAGAUACCCGGGUAGUC
rnacentral:rRNA from 1 species